rnacentral:rRNA from 1 species
UACGUAGGUGGCAAGCGUUGUCCGGAUUUACUGGGCGUAAAGAGCGCGCAGGCGGUCGAUCAAGUCGCGUGUGAAAGCCCCCGGCCCAACUGGGGAGGGUCACGCGAUACUGAUCGACUCGAAGGCAGGAGAGGGUAGUGGAAUUCCCGGUGUAGUGGUGAAAUGCGUAGAUAUCGGGAGGAACACCAGUGGCGAAGGCGACUACCUGGCCUGUUUCUUGACGCUGAGGCGCGAAAGCUAGGGGAGCAAACGGG